GAUGAACGCUGGCGGCGUGCCUAAUACAUGCAAGUCGAGCGAACAGACGAGGAGCUUGCUCCUCUGACGUUAGCGGCGGACGGGUGAGUAACACGUGGAUAACCUACCUAUAAGACUGGGAUAACUUCGGGAAACCGGAGCUAAUACCGGAUAAUAUAUUGAACCGCAUGGUUCAAUAGUGAAAGUCGGUUUUGCUGUCACUUAUAGAUGGAUCCGCGCCGCAUUAGCUAGUUGGUAAGGUAACGGCUUACCAAGGCAACGAUGCGUAGCCGACCUGAGAGGGUGGUCGGCCACACUGGAACUGAGACACGGUCCAGACUCCUACGGGAGGCAGCAGUAGGGAAUCUUCCGCAAUGGGCGAAAGCUUGACGGAGCAACGCCGCGUGAGUGAUGAAGGUCUUCGGAUCGUAAAACUCUGUUAUUAGGGAAGAACAAAUGUGUAAGUAACUAUGCACGUCUUGACGGUACCUAAUCAGAAAGCCACGGCUAACUACGUG
rnacentral:rRNA from 1 species